GACCCAGAUGACUCCACAGAAGAAAGUCUCUCUUCAUAUUAUUGGUCUCUCUUGGCAAAGAAGAAUGGACUGUCUUGAAAGGUGACUGGUUCCUCUUCCUUGGAGGUCUCCAAGCAAAGGUUGGAUAACCACUUGUUAGCUUACAAACUGCGUUUCCACCCAAGAGAAACUGCCAUCUUGAAGGCCCACUGUCCAGACUGGGCACCAUCUACCUGGACCACUGUUUCAGGAGGGGGCCUAACCAGGCUUCCCUUCACUCCUGACUUUGUUCUCCAGAAUUCUAUAUUUGAA